UACGACUACAUAUCAGGCAUAUCAAUAAGCGGAGGAAAAGAAACUAACUAGGAUUCCCUCAGUAACGGCGAGUGAAGCGGGAAGAGCUCAAAUUUGAAAUCUUCAAGGUUCUACCUUGACGAAUUGUAGUUUAAAGAAGUGUUUUCUGUUGGAGUUUUGGUAAAAGUUCUUUGGAAUAGGACAUCAUAGAGGGUGAGAAUCCCGUAUUUGACCAUUAUUUCAGCUGUGUGAUACACUUUCAAAGAGUCGGAUUGUUUGGGAAUGCAGUCCAAAAUGGGUGGUAAAUUUCAUCUAAAGCUAAAUAUUGGCGAGAGACCGAUAGCGAACAAGUACCGUGAGGGAAAGAUGAAAAGAACUUUGAAAAGAGAGUUAAACAGUACGUGAAAUUGUCAAAAGGGAAGCGUUUGACACCAGUGUUGUUUUCUCGAAAAUCAAUUAAAAAUAGUUGGAUUUUGUGUUGUAUUGACCUUAACAGCUUGCUUCACUCUUUUCCAGCUUUUUUUAAUGCACUUUUCGUUUAACAAGUCAACAUCAGUUUCUUUUGUUGUAAAAGGGUCAUUGGAAGGUGGCUUUCUCUUCGGAGAAAGUGUUUAUAGCCUUUGAUCUCUGCAAUCGGAGAGACUGAGGUCUGCAGCGUAGAUCCUUCGGGGUUAGAUACAUUUGUGCUAAGCUACUAGCUUUUCAUAGACAACUUGUUGACUAUGUUUAGUCUUGUAACUUACCCGCUUAUGCUAUUUUACCUACGCUUAGGAUGUUGAGCGCAUGUCUCUCUCU
rnacentral:rRNA from 1 species